UGCAUCUUUUUGGGUAUUCUCGAAUUUUA
rnacentral:piRNA from 1 species